CAAGCCGGCCGGGCUGUCGCAGCGGCUGCCUCGCAGCCGUUGAGGAAAGUCCGCGCUCCCCAGAGCACGACGCCGGGUAACACCCGGAGCGGGGUGACCUGCUGGAACAGGGCCACAGAGAAGCGCAGUGCCCGGCCGCCGCCCACGGCGGCGGCCGAGCGAGGGUGAAACGGUGGGGUAAGAGCCCACCGGCGUCCGCCGCAAGGCGGGCGGCCAGGCAACCCCCGUCGGGAGCAAGGCCAAGCAGGGGCAAGCUGCUGCUCGCAGCGCCUGAGCCCCGGGUCGGCCGCACGAGCCGGCCAGCAAUGGCCGGCCUAGAGAGAUGACGGCCUAAAACAGAACGCGGCUUACGGGCUGGCUUGCCAG
rnacentral:RNase_P_RNA from 1 species